rnacentral:tRNA from 1 species
GUUUUCGUAGUUGAGCUACAACGGUGGUUUUUCAAGUCACUGGUCUCGGUUAGAGUCCGGGCGGGAAUC